UACGUAGGCAGCAAGCGUUGUUCGGAGUUACUGGGCGUAAAGAGUGCGUAGGUGGUGCCCUAAGUCUGUUGUGAAAUCUCCCGGCUUAACUGGGAGGGUGCGGUGGAAACUGGGGUGCUUGAGUGUGGGAGAGGUAAGCGGAAUUCCUGGUGUAGCGGUGAAAUGCGUAGAUAUCAGGAGGAACACCGGUGGCGAAGGCGGGUCUCUGGGCCGAUACUGACGCUGAGGAGCGAAAGCGUGGGGAGCGAACAGG
rnacentral:rRNA from 1 species